GACCAGUAUAUUUUGGUUUGUAUAGUCAAAAGACAAUGUUGUUUGUAUAAAUAAAUUCCAUCAAGUUGAAUAAAGAAUGGUUUUGUCCAUUGUCCAAAUUGAAAUGUGAAGUUUUAAGUAAAAAAUUGCAAUAACGCACAACAGUUGGUUAAUGGCAAGUUAAAGAACAAAGUUUUACUUGACCUAAUCUAAAACAAAACAAACAAAAGAAAAUGGAUUUUAAAUAUUUACAAGGUGUUAUUGAUAUCUUAACCUUCCAGGAGACCAAAGAAAAUGGUUCUACUAAACGAAUGUUUGACUUAAGUGAUGUAUAACUGCUUAAAAGAUGCAGUUACCUGAUGUUCUUAAAUAAAAAGACACAAUGCAAAAAGAUAGAAUUUAAACUGUUUGAACUUUGCACCAUAUUGAUUGGAUCGUGAGAAAUGUGCAUCAAAUCAAAAUGAGUCAGAUGACAGCAGGCGGUAAAAAUACAUAUGAAUUUGACAUUGGUGUUGAAGAUAAAGAUAUGAUUUUAUCAAGAUCGUUUUGAAAAUAAUUUUAAUUUUGUAAAAGUUUUUGUUCUAAAAAUGUAUAAAUUA